rnacentral:ncRNA from 8 species
UGAUCCUUCGAUGUCGGCUCUUCCUAUCA